rnacentral:sRNA from 1 species
GAAAAAUAAUGGCUAAUUUUGUUAUAUCUUGUGUUGAAUUGUUUUCCUCUGUCACCGUCCAUUUUUGUUGAAUUUUUACCAAGAUGCAUUUUUCGUUGUUGCAUUACACCAUAUUUUUUAUACUACAUGUAUCAUCAACCAUUUGAAUUGUUCAUACAUGAAUUGUAAAAUAUGUUUAAAUUGACCAACUUUUCUCUUAUAAUAAAGAUAUACUAUCUCAUUC